rnacentral:rRNA from 1 species
CAGCAGCCGCGGUAAUACGAAGGGGGCUAGCGUUGCUCGGAAUGACUAGGCGUAAAGGGCGCGUAGGCGGCGGCCAAAGUCAGGCGUGAAAUUCCCGGGCUCAACCUGGGGGCUGCGUUUUAUACUUGGUUGCUUGAGUGGGGAAGAGGGUCGUGGAACUCCCAGUGUAGAGGUGAAAUUGGUAGAUAUUGGGAAGAACACCGGUGGCGAAGGCGGCGACCUGGUCCUUUACUGACGCUGAGGCGCGAAAGCGUGGGGAGCGAACAGGAUUAGAUACCCCAGUAGUCCCUGUCUCUUAUAC